UGGGGAAUAUUGGACAAUGGGCGCAAGCCUGAUCCAGCCAUGCCGCGUGUGUGAAGAAGGCCUUCGGGUUGUAAAGCACUUUUGUUGGGGAAGAAAAGCAUCCGGUUAAUACCCGGGUGUCCUGACGGUACCCAAAGAAUAAGCACCGGCUAACUUCGUGCCAGCAGCCGCGGUAAUACGAAGGGUGCAAGCGUUACUCGGAAUUACUGGGCGUAAAGCGUGCGUAGGUGGUCUGUUAAGUCUGAUGUGAAAGCCCCGGGCUCAACCUGGGAAUGGCAUUGGAUACUGGCAGUCUAGAGUGCGGUAGAGGGGUGUGGAAUUCCCGGUGUAGCAGUGAAAUGCGUAGAUAUCGGGAGGAACAUCCGUGGCGAAGGCGACACCCUGGACCAGCACUGACACUGAGGCACGAAAGCGUGGGGAGCAAACAGG
rnacentral:rRNA from 1 species